CGGGGCGUAGCGCAGCUUGGCUAGCGCGCCACGUUCGGGACGUGGAGGCCUCGGGUUCGAAUCCCGACGCCCCGACCA
rnacentral:tRNA from 1 species